UAAUACUGCUUAAGACAUGGUGCAAACCCAUUGUUCCCACAGGCUUGCUUGAAUAGAACAGUUUUCAUACUUGAAAAAUAUUCAAAGUGUAGAUGCUGUAAAAUGAAAUAAUUAUCUGUAAUUACAUUAAUUGAAUCUCUUCCUGAUAAGUAAGGAUGAAGGUUUCAUCCUAUAGGACCUAGUAUUUCAACAUGGCCAUCUGCAGUGCGUCUGAGGCCAGGAGCCACACCCUUCUGCAGACCCCAUCAAUACUCUGGCUAGGCUACGUGCUUGAUAGAGUCUCACAAAGCUUAAGGUUUCAUUCUAUAGGACCUGGUAUUUCAACCUAGACAUCCGUGCUGCGGCUGAGGCCAGGAGCCACACCCUCCUCCUGCGGACCCCAUCAGAACUCUGGCGAGACUACAAGCUAGACUGAGUCUGACUUCUGCAUCGCCUCCUUCUCUGUGCCUAGUGCUAGCCUGUGCUCUGUUACAUUAUUUAACAGAGAAAGCUCUAUUUCCAGCAGCUGUCUAUGUGAUCUCUUUGUGCCGCUGUCAGGGUCCCUUCUAACCCAUCUGGGGCCAUUUGCCUGAAUUAAUGAAUUAGUGCACAUAUAUUAGAACAAAAGACGGUUGGGUGUAGAGUAUAAUUCCUUUCUUUGCAGUAGAUCCGUUGUUUUUUGAAGGUUUUCCACUGUAUGGAACGCAAACAUUCUUAAAGCAGGCUAAGUUAGAAACAAAGAACACAGAAGCAGUGCCAACAAUAAAGAAAAAAAAUUGAAAAGAUAACUAACAUUUAAAAGUAGAAAAUAAUAUUUUUAUCCGAUGAAUCUCUACAUACCACUAAUAUACCACUAUGAUUUUAUUCUAUAGAGACACACUUCUGUUGUGGUGGGGCAACUUUCAUUGUCUGCGGGGGUGGGGGCGGGGAAGGGCGUCUCCCUGGGUUCUGACCACCAGGGUACUCUGAGCUUCACAAAGUGGGCUUUGUCAUUACCCAACCAUCCAGCUCUCCUCCCCCCUCAGCGAGACCUCCCCGUUAAGUAAAUCGUAUUUUUGACAGUCCUGCAAACGAAACAUCCCGUAAGACUGCAGUUCCACAAUGUGAUUGUUUUAUUUUUUUAAAUAAAAAUUUAAAAGCCGCUCAGGAGAGAGGCUUAGUGAGAGCGAACCCCUCCCAAAAUGCCACGGAAGCAAGAGACAAACAACCCCGCCCCUGCGCCUCCCUGACAGCGGCUGCCAUGGAUCCGACACAAACUAACCAUUUUCCUGGAGAGAUCUGGGGCGACUGACACCCACCCUCUAUCUACCGAGAGCCAGGGAAAGCUUGCUCACCAUGGUUGCUGCUUCGCGGUUGCCGGGCGGAUGGCGGAGGCGAGAGGAGGUGUUGCUUCUUACAGCGCGACUCUUAGGCGGUCGAUGUAAGAGAACCUGCGGCACUGGGGCGGAUGCGGCUCCUUAUAUACAGCCCGGUCACCAUGGGGAUGGGCCGGGGCCUUUUCCUGUUGGUCCAGACCCCUCUGUCUGCCCAGAGAAGCCGCGACUGGAGAGUGGUGAUUGGUGCAAGCGACAUGGUAUGAGGAAAAACAGCCCCCGAUCUUCAUUACUUUAUAACGGAGGAACAGAGCAGCCUUGACUGCUUCUAACAUGUAAGUACACCAGUAAGAACAAGAACUCAGCAAUGGCAGCGCUCUCUCAGAGAAGGCCACACCCAUGUGCUCUCAUAGUGUUCUGAGCACUUCUCUCUUAAUAUGUAUGUUUAAAAUCCGUAGUAAUGAAUAAACCCCAACUCUGCUUCAUUAAAAAAAUUAAAUGGCACAGAGAAUAUAAAGACUUAAUAGCUUAUUGAAAACAUCGUCACAAUUAAAAACUAUUUCAUUUGUGCGUGGAUUUUGCAGGUGUGCUUGUGUGUUUGAGGGUGUGUGUGUGUGUGUGUGUGUGUGUGUGUGUGUCUUUGGAGGCCAGAGGACAACUACAGGGGCAGAUUCUCUUCUUUCACUGUGGAGUCCCAGAGACAAAAUUCACAUCCUCAGCCGCGGUGGACAAUGCCUUUACCAGAUAAGUCUUCUCUCCUUCCCUCAAAUAAUGAUAAUAAUGGUAUAUGAUAAUAAUGAUAAUAAUAAUAAUAAUAAUAAUAAUAAUAAUAGGCA